rnacentral:rRNA from 1 species
AACGAACGCUGGCGGCAGGCCUAACACAUGCAAGUCGAGCGCGCCCUUCGGGGUGAGCGGCGGACGGGUGAGUAACGCGUGGGAACGUGCCCUUCUCUGCGGAAUAGCCUCGGGAAACUGAGAGUAAUACCGCAUACGCCCUUUGGGGGAAAGUUUUAUCGGAGAAGGAUCGGCCCGCGUUGGAUUAGGUAGUUGGUGGGGUAAUGGCCCACCAAGCCGACGAUCCCUAGCUGGUUUGAGAGGAUGAUCAGCCACACUGGGACUGAGACGCGGCCCAGACUCCUACGGGAGGCAGCAGUGGGGAAUCUUAGACAAUGGGGGCAACCCUGAUCUAGCCAUGCCGCGUGAGUGAUGAAGGCCUUAGGGUUGUAAAGCUCUUUCAGCUGGGAAGAUAAUGACGGUACCAGCAGAAGAAGCCCCGGCUAACUCCGUG